UACGUAGGGGGCAAGCGUUGUCCGGAAUCAUUGGGCGUAAAGAGCGUGUAGGCGGCCCGAUAAGUCCGCUGUGAAAGUCCAGGGCUCAACCCUGGAAUGCCGGUGGAUACUGUCGGGCUCGAAUCCGGAAGAGGUGAGUGGAAUUCCUGGUGUAGCGGUGGAAUGCGCAGAUAUCAGGAGGAACACCAAUAGCGAAGGCAGCUCGCUGGGAUGGUACUGACGCUAAGGCGCGAAAGCGUGGGGAGCGAACAGG
rnacentral:rRNA from 1 species